rnacentral:rRNA from 2 species
AUUAGAUACCCUGGUAGUCCAUGCCGUAAACGAUGAGUGCUAGGUGUUGGGAGGGUUUCCGCCCUUCAGUGCCGGAGCUAACGCAUUAAGCACUCCGCCUGGGGAGUACGACCGCAAGGUUGAAACUCAAAGGAAUUGACGGGGGCCCGCACAAGCGGUGGAGCAUGUGGUUUAAUUCGAAGCUACGCGAAGAACCUUACCAGGUCUUGACAUCUUGCGCCAACCCUAGAGAUAGGGCGUUUCCUUCGGGAACGCAAUGACAGGUGGUGCAUGGUCGUCGUCAGCUCGUGUCGUGAGAUGUUGGGUUAAGUCCCGCAACGAGCGCAACCCUUGUUACUAGUUGCCAGCAUUAAGUUGGGCACUCUAGUGAGACUGCCGGUGACAAACCGGAGGAAGGUGGGGACGACGUCAGAUCAUCAUGCCCCUUAUGACCUGGGCUACACACGUGCUACAAUGGACGGUACAACGAGUCGCGAACUCGCGAGGGCAAGCAAAUCUCUUAAAACCGUUCUCAGUUCGGACUGCAGGCUGCAACUCGCCUGCACGAAGUCGGAAUCGCUAGUAAUCGCGGAUCAGCAUGCCGCGGUGAAUACGUUCCCGGGCCUUGUACACACCGCCCGUCACACCAUGAGAGUUUGUAACACCCAAAGUCGGUGGGGUAACCUUUUAGGAGCCAGCCGCCUAAGGUGGGACAGAUGAUUAGGGGAAGUCGUAACA